CAACCCUCAGGCCCUGCCUGGCGUUGGGGCCCUGCCGUCCGCGGCAGGCCCUCAAAGACAGCGGCGGGUGCGCCUUGGAACCGAACGUAGUACUUCGUCUCGUUCUGGAACCAGGGCGCUCUCCGGCCGUAAAAACUCAUAUAUUCUAU
rnacentral:misc_RNA from 1 species